GUGGGGAAUUUUGCGCAAUGGGGGAAACCCUGACGCAGCAACGCCGCGUGGAGGAUGAAGGUCUUCGGAUUGUAAACUCCUGUCAGUGGGGAAAAAGGGGUCUGGGUGAAUAGCCCGGAUCAUUGAUUGUACCCGCAGAGGAAGCCCCGGCUAACUCUGUGCCAGCAGCCGCGGUAAUACAGAGGGGGCAAGCGUUAUUCGGAAUUAUUGGGCGUAAAGGGCGCGUAGGCGGUCGCACAAGUGGGAGGUGAAAUCCCUCGGCUUAACCGAGGAGCUGCCUCCCAAACUGAGUGACUUGAGUCCGGGAGAGGUGAGUGGAAUUCCCAGUGUAGCGGUGAAAUGCGUAGAUAUUGGGAGGAACACCAGUGGCGAAGGCGGCUCACUGGACCGGAACUGACGCUGAGGCGCGAAAGCGUGGGGAGCAAACGGGAUUAGAUACCCCGGUAGUCC
rnacentral:rRNA from 1 species